ACGCUCGACACCUACGGGGGCAGCAGUUGGGAAUAUUGGACAAUGGAGGAAACUCUGAUCCAGUGACGCCGCGUGAAGGAAGAAGGUCUUCGGAUUGUAAACUUAUUUUGUCAGGGAAGAAAAAAUGACUGUACCUGAAGAAAAAGCACCGGCUAACUACGUGCCAGCACGCCGACGGUAAUCUGAGGCGGGCGUGGACAAGGC
rnacentral:rRNA from 1 species